UGUUGCCAUCAGAAUACGUAGGGGUAGAAUCCAUCUCUAUUUCUGGAGUGACAGGGGGCUCCCAACAACUGACUGUACUGGAAGCUGAAGUGAGCUUGACUGGGAAGGAAUGGCAUAGACACCCCAUCGUGACUGGUCCAGAGGCCCCAUGUAUCCUUGGCAUAGAUUACCUGAGGAGUGGGUAUUUCAAAGACCCAAAAGGACUCCUUUGGGCCUUUGGCAUAGCUACUGUGGAGACAGAGGAAAUUAGACAGUUGAACACCUUGCCUUUUCUCUCAGAGGACCCUUCAUCUGUGGGACUGCUGAAGACUGAAGUACAAUUGGUACCCAUGGCCACAGUAACAGUACACCGUCUGCAAUACCGCACCGACCAAGACUCCGUGGCUCCUAUACAUAAGAUGAUCCAUGAACUGGAGACCCAGGGGGUGGUCAGCAAGACUGGUUCACCCUUUAAUAGCUCUGUAUGGCCAGUGCGUAAGUCCAACUGAGAGUGGAGGAUGAUGGUGGAUUACCGUGGACUCAAUGAAGUCACACCAUCCCUGAGUGCUGCUGUGCUGGACAUGCUGGAGCUUCAGUACGAGCUGGAGUCCAAGACAACCAAGUGGUAUGCUACCAUUGACGUUGUCAAUGCAAUCCAUUCCUUUGGCAACAGAGUGCAGACCACAAUUUGCUUUCACUUGGAGAGGUGUGCAGUACACCUGGAAUCGGUUUUCCCAGGGGUGGAAACACAGUCCCACCAUUUUCCAUGGACUGAUCCAGACUGCACUGGAAAAGGGUGAGGCUCCAGAACAUCUACAGUACAUCAAUGACAUCAUUGUAAGGGGAAACAAAACACAGCGAUGGAAGUCUUCAAGAAAGGAGAAAAGAUAAUCCAGAUUUUCCUAAGAGCUGGUUUUGCCAUUAAACAAAGUAAGGUCAAGGGACCUGCUCAGGAAAUUCAGUUCCUAGGAGUGAAGUGGCAAGAUGGACGUCGCCAGAUUCCAAUGGAGGUGAUCAGCAAAACAGCAGCCAUGUCCCCACCAACCAACAAUAAGGAAACACCGGCUUUCCUAGGCACCGUGGGCUUUUUGAGAAUGCAUAUCCCUGAGUACCGUCAGACUGUAAGUCCUCUCUACCUUGUGACACAGAAGAAAAAUGAUUUCCAGUGGGGUCCUGAACAACAACAGACCUCUGAGCAAAUUAAGCAGAUUUCCCAUGCAGUAGCCCUUGACCAGUCAGGACAUGACAGGACAUGAAGAAUGUGCUCUACACUGCAACCAGGGAGAAUGGCCCUUCCUGGAGCCUCUGGCAGAAAGCGCCCGAGGAGACCCAAGGCCGACCACUGAUAUUCUGGAGUCGGGGCUACAAAGGAUCUGAAACCAACUAUACCCCAACUGAGAAAGAAAUCUUGGCUGCUUAUGAAGGAGUUCGAGUUGCCUCAGAAGUGAUCGGCACCAAAGCACAGCUUCUCUUGGCACCCCGACUACCAGUGCUGGACUCGAUGUUCAAGGGGAAAACUCCUUCUACACAUCACGCCACCGAUGCCACAUGGAGUAAGUGGAUCGCUCUGAUCACACAGCAAACCCGGAUAGGGAAUCCUAAUUGCCCUGGGAUUCUGGAAAUUAUUACCAACUGACCUGAAGGUGAGAGUGUCGGAUUAUCCUCUGAAGAAGAAGAGGAGCAGAUGACACAGGCUGAGGAGACCCCACCAUAUAACCAGCUCCCAGAAGAUGAAAAACUAUAUGGUCUCUUCACAGAUGGCUCUUGUCGCAUUGUAGACACAAACCAGAAAUGGAAGGCAGCCAUAUGGAGUCCCACAUGGCAAGUUGCAGAAGAGACCAAAGGACAAGGUGGGUCGUCAGGUUGCAGAGUUUAAAACUGUUCAACUGGCUUUGGAUAUCGCUGAACGACAGAAGUGGCCAAGACUCUAUCUCUACACGGACUUGUGGAUGGUGACCAAUGCUCUGUGGGGAUGGUUAGAGUUAUGCAGAAAAGCCAGUCGAGCUGACUCUGCAUAAUCAGAAAGUCCCCUGGUGCAUAUGAAAGGUAUGUUAGGAAAGACUGGAUUAGUCCCACGUUAAGCAAAGGCAAAUCCAUCUGAGGGAUUGUUUUUACUCAAGGACCUGGUUUCACUUGGUGGUCAAUGUAAAAAGAUGGGGAGACGUUGUGUACCACAAGGGGACCUAAUUUUUAGUGAAAAGUUUCUGUAAUGUAUGUUUCAUUCUAUAUAUAUGUUUUUUAUGUAUUUAUAUGUUUUUUAAAAUGUGUAAAUUUGGGCGUGACUUAGGUGGUAUAGAAUAAGGGGUGGAUAAUGUCCUAGUUGGAGCAACCAGGACCAGUUCAUCACUGUGUGGGUGUAACCCAAACUGUGUAUUCUACACCCUCCAAGUCAUUUCCCAGAAACUGUUAACAAUAGACCCUUUGCAACAGCUGCCCAGAGCACACCUGAUCCCUCAGGCUAUAAGUUGGGUGUUAAGAGACCUGUGAGAUAGGAGGAUGUUUCUGUCCUCACACCCACAACUCACCCAUUGUGGAACUCCCUGCCCAGGGGAAGAUACUGGGCAUUCCUGCCUGAACCUGACUGUAUAUAAUCUUGGGGUCUUGAGACUUCUGGUACCACUUGUGGGAUCCAGAGGAGGACCAAAACCUCAACUGGACUGCGACCACCGCUCUCAACUGGACUGCAACCUCCACUCUCAACUGGGUUGCAACCACCGCUCUCAACCAGACUGCAACUGCCGCUCUCAACCAGACUUUGACCAUCACUCGCACCAACAGGAAAGGUCAGACCUUGAAAGAAAUCGCUGGAGCUUUGGAAAGGGGUUUAGAAAAACCAGUUCCUGGUUGGCUUUCUUGUUAUUACGGAAACAGACUUCAACCUUCUUGCAUCUUGGAGAUCACAGUUCAUUUCCCAGGACAUCUGCAUCGACCAUAUAGACGACUUUUAUAUUAACUUUUGUUUUAACUCCUUUACUCUGACUUCGAGUUUGGAAAUGGGUUCACCAUCCCACUUUUUCAUGUUUUCUCCCCUGUUAUGCAAAUAAGACCACAGUUGACUACGUGUUCAGUUAAAAAUUCACUUAAUUUCGAGUUCUUCAGUUUAUAUAAUUUUUUUCCUUUGCCCUAAGAGAAAAAAAGAAAGAAAUUUUCACUAUAAUCUCAGAGACUUGACAGAGAACCAAGGUUUAACUCUAACAGAACACUAUUCUGUUCAUGUCUCAGGGUGCUGGGUUAUACAUCUGGGGUUUUGUGGGUUAAAACCAAUUGUUCAUCUGUAUAAUUGUAUUUAUUGUAUUAUUUUUAUUAAAUUUUAAUUCUGACUCAUAA